GUUGAAGAACGUAGUGAAAUGCGAUACUUGGUGUGAAUUGCAGAAUCCCGUGAACCAUCGAGUCUUUGAACGCAAGUUGCGCCCGAAGCCAUUAGGCCGAGGGCACGCCUGCCUGGGCGUCACACGUCGUUGCCCCCCCAUCUACUCCUUCGGGAUUGCGGGGGGCGGAUGAUGGCCUCUCGUGCGCCUCGUCGCGCGGUUGGCCUAAAUGCCAAGUCCUCGGCGACGCACGCCACGACAAUCGGUGGUUGCGAAACCUCGGUUGCCUGUCGUGUGCGGUCGUCGCGCAUCGAGGGCUCGAAAAAAUUGCCGGGCUUCGGCUCGACUUUCAACGCGACCCCAGGUCAGGCGGGGUUACCCGCUGAAUUUAAGCAUAUCAAUAAGCGGAGGA
rnacentral:misc_RNA from 1 species